AUUGAACGCUGGCGGCAGGCCUAAUACAUGCAAGUCGAACGGUAGCACAGGAGAGCUUGCUCUCUGGGUGACGAGUGGCGGACGGGUGAGUAAGGCAUGGGGAGCUGCCCAAUCGAGGGGGAUACCAGCUGGAAACGGCUGCUAAUACCGCAUACGCCCUGAGGGGGAAAGGUGGGGACCUUCGGGCCUACCGCGAUUGGAUGCACCCAUGUGGGAUUAGCUAGUUGGUGAGGUAACGGCUCACCAAGGCGACGAUCUCUAGCUGGUCUGAGAGGAUGACCAGCCACACUGGAACUGAGACACGGUCCAGACUCCUACGGGAGGCAGCAGUGGGGAAUAUUGCACAAUGGGGGAAACCCUGAUGCUGCCAUGCCGCGUGUGUGAAGAAGGCCUUCGGGUUGUAAAGCACUUUCAGUGGGGAGGAAGGGGCGAUGCCUAAUACGCAUUGUCAUUGACGUUACCCACAGAAGAAGCACCGGCUAACUCCGUGCCAGCAGCCGCGGUAAUAC
rnacentral:rRNA from 1 species